rnacentral:tRNA from 1 species
GUCUCUGUGGCGCAAUUGGUUAGCGCGUUCGGCUGUUAACCGAAAAGGUUGCUGGUUCAAGCCCAGCCAGGGACG